GACGAACGCUGGCGGCGUGCCUAAUACAUGCAAGUCGAACGGUCUUUUCUAUGGAAGCUUGCUUCCACUGAGAAGAUAGUGGCGAACGGGUGAGUAACACGUGGGUAACCUGCCCAUAAGAGGGGGAUAACAUCCGGAAACGGGUGCUAAUACCGCAUAGUUUUCUUGAUCGCAUGAUUGAGAAAGGAAAGACGGCCUUUGUGCUGUCGCUUGUGGAUGGACCCGCGGCGUAUUAGUUAGUUGGUGAGGUAACGGCUCACCAAGACGAUGAUACGUAGCCGACCUGAGAGGGUGAUCGGCCACAUUGGGACUGAGACACGGCCCAAACUCCUACGGGAGGCAGCAGUAGGGAAUCUUCCGCAAUGGACGAAAGUCUGACGGAGCAACGCCGCGUGAGUGAAGAAGGUUUUCGGAUCGUAAAACUCUGUUGUCAGAGAAGAACAAGUCGGAGAGUAACUGCUCCGGCCUUGACGGUAUCUGACCAGAAAGCCACAGCUAACUACGUGCCAGCCGCCGCUGUAAUAC
rnacentral:rRNA from 1 species